CCGUGCUAGGUGGGGAGCUAGCGGUGCCCUUUACCCGCAAUCCGCUAUAGCGGGAUCAAACUCCUCCUUUAGACAGAAUCUAUAAACCUCUUGCAUCGGACCCUAUGGUAUAGAAGGUUGGGUCCCACGCGGCGCAGAUUCUCGAACCCCGCCAGGUCCGGAAGGAAGCAACGGUAAGCGAAACCCUGUGGGUGCCGUGGGAGUGCCUGACCCGAGUCAUAGGCUGAUAAAAGUUUCAUGGAUUUGUGGCAACGGGAGGUGCACGG
rnacentral:SRP_RNA from 1 species